CUCUUCGAUCUUCGACAUCGAAGAGCUGCGGAACGGGUUCGCGAGACGGUCGGAGAUCGGUGAGAGAUGCCUCACCCCGAAGCCGAUCCGAUUCGGCAUCGAUUCGGUGUAGAACACAUCACGUGAAUCUACCUACAUGUCUUAUCGCGGCACUCUGGAGUGCAGAGAUUGCCGACAGACAGCGUGGGACUCGCCUCGUUGCCCGGCUGUAGGGUAGAGCUAGGUAUGUAUACAGAUAUAGUAUACAUGCAUCAAUACCGAUUGUUCGAGCGAUGCAACAGGUUACUGACACUUCAAAUCGGCAUUACGUACGUAAUUGUUAUACCGAAGGGCGCUGAACAAUGUUUUCUUAAUAUAAUAACUUUAACAGACUAUUACUCACUCUUAAUAUUCUCGAAUCUCCACCUAUCGAGGUUUGAAUAUAUUGUGCAUACAUGUAUAUGUAAUGUAAUUUGCUGAAUUUUUUUUUAUUGAAAUCGUAUUCACACGGGGAUGUUACAUUAUUGGCGUAUGCUGGAAUGCGCAUUGUAAAUUGAUUGAAAUUAAAAGAGUGACAUAACUUGUCGUGACUUGUAGAAAUUUUUUGUUAUAUCCGUAUAACUGAUAUAUAUUAAGAUUUUACAGCUAUGUGUACAUUUGAACAAAGAAUUACAUACGUAAGUUUCUACAUGGAAAUGCAAACCGGAUAUACCUAGAUGACAGUUUUUAAUUCGUCGGCAAGACUUUGUUGAUGUCACUUUGUAAAAUAACAACUUAUAAUUUAAGUGCAACUAAUUUCCAAAACAAUUAGUUGUCUACGGAAUAAUUACAAUAGUACAACUUAUAAAUUAACGAACAAAUGUAUUCGCGUACGUUAAAUUGAAAAAGUUUAAAAAAUAACACUAAAAAAAAAAGGGAAAAAUGAAGCAGUAUAUAUUUUAUUCCCUUGAUUGGAAAAAUAAUAUACAAUAAACAGAGUUACUCACGACGGGCGAUUCUAAGGUUUGCUUCUCUAUUAAAUUAAUUUUUCAAACUUUUCACGCUGAGUUUUGCAAUGCUGAGAUUUAAAAAACUUUUACGUAUACAUUUCCUUUUUUUCAGUACAGUCCUAUCAGAAUCAAUUCACUUUAUUGCGAAAUUCCCGUCGUAUAAAAUACAUACAAUGAACUUUGCCAAAUUUUAACUAGUUAUAAAUUUAUUAUUGCUGCCACAAUCAUUUCCGCACAGGCAAAUAAUUUUUAUUAGAAUAUAAAUCUUAGCUCGCAGCUCUGUAACGUUUGCAUGAUAAUAGGGAGCUGGAAAUUUUUCAAUAAUUUCAUAAGUAGCCCAAACGAAUUUUAAUAUAAUGAAAGUAUGUACAGAGUCAUUCACCUACUAUUGAACAUAUUUCACCCUUGAGCGUGAAAGAGCGGCUUAUGCGAGUUUGAGGUACAAAAAUCGGCUGCGUUCAUAGUCACACUCACGUUCAGCAACUGACGAAUCACCCUGUACGUAUAUAAUAAGUUGUAUCAAAUGAGGAUAAAAAAAAAAAAAAAAUUAAAAAUGAAAUAGAAAUCCAAGAUAAAAUAAAAUCGAUAUCAAAAUCCUGCAAGUUUACUCUUGAGAUAACUGUAUGAUGGGUAAGUUUUUUAUAAUACAAAUUUUACUUUACAGAUAAUCAGAUCAAGUUGGUAAUUAAUUAUCUUCGAAAAAAAUUAGAUGAAAAAAAAAAAUAAUUUGAAGCGAUGAAGAAAAGGGAUAGGGAAAAAGACAUACAUUUUGCAAGUGGUAUGAUAACAAAAUAAUCCUAACCGUGUAAUGAUGUAUAGUAGAAAUUCAUUUUAAGACUGGUGUGUCGCUUCUACUUGCUAUGCUUUAAUAGAAAACGAAAUACACUCAUCGCGGCCUACAAUCGCACUUCUCCUGUACAUUUACGCACACAAAUGCCAAUCGCCUCGGAUUUUGGAGAAACUUGACAAAGUCUCAAAUAAGAUUCGAGCACUAUGCGUACUACAUACAAAUGUUUGAAAGUAGAUUUUACACUAUUGAAAUAUUGAAUACCUCUGAUAU